rnacentral:rRNA from 1 species
AGUUGAUUAUGGCUCGAGGACGAACGCUGGCGGCGUGCCUAACACAUGCAAGUCGAGCGGAGAUGAUGUGAGGAAGUUUCGGAUGGAAUCACAUUAUUUAGCGGCGGACGGGUGAGUAACGCGUGAGCGACCAACCUUGCACAGGGGGAUAACGGACCGAAAGGUUCACUAAUACCGCAUGAGACCACGGUGUUGCAUGACACAGGGGUCAAAGGAGCAAUCCGGUGCAAGACGGGCUCGCGUCCGAUUAGGUAGUUGGUGGGGUAAUGGCCCACCAAGCCUAUGAUCGGUAGCCGACCUGAGAGGGUGAUCGGCCACAUUGGAACUGAGAUACGGUCCAAACUCCUACGGGAGGCAGCAGGUGGGGAAUAUUGGGCAAAAUGGGGGAAACCCUGACCCAGCAACGCCGCGUGAAGGAAGAAGGUUUUCGGAUUGUAAACUUCUGUCCUUGGUGAAGAGAAGAAGACGGUAGCCAAGGAGGAAGCCCCGGCUAACUACGUGCCAGCCGCUGC